ACGCUCGCCGUGAUUAUCCAGUGUGGUCCCCCGGACUGUAACGAAGUUCACAAGCUCUGAAUAAUGAAGCGUUUAUGCUUUUUGUUCCACCGGCUCCUGAAAAUGAGAUACAGGAAGAAAGCAGAACCAGGGACAUAAAUCAGGGCUGACUCGUGCCUGUCAGGACCUCAAAUCCAGGAUUUCAUUUGCAGGUUGGACCUGAUUCAGUCUCAUUUAUCCUUCAGACAGGAGGGAAAAGUUAGGACAACUGUAUGUGCCUUUAACAAACAGGAGCCCAGAGAUGUCAGGACAUUUGAGGUUGUGAGAUUAUAAAACCUAAAAUCCCUGUCAGUGCUCCUGCUUGCAGAUACUUGGUAGUGGUUUGGAUUUCUUUUCAUUGAUGAAACCUAAACCCUUAAAAAGUCCCCUCUUGAUUCACCAGGACACCAAACCCACAUUUAUCUUUGUUUACUUUCCCUUUUCUUAUCCAGGAGGUGUCUGAAAACUCAACACAAAUUAACCUCCAGCGGGGAAAUUUCUCUUGAAGGCUCCCUGAAGUUGGAUCAGCGCUUGGUAAUACUGGAGAAAAUUUGGUUCACCACUUGCAGAGUUGACAGAUUUGGCUGAAACUUGGUAGACUAAACUGUCAGCUUCAUGGAUAGAAACUUUUAUUCUUCGGGGAAUGCAAAUCAGUUUUUGGAUCAUUUGACUUUGUUAAACGGUAACACAUUCAAACCAGAUUCAGUGAUCCGUCCUGCUCUUAUUAAAGGCCGUCCAAAGAGCACCUGAAUCUGGGAACUGUGUUAAGACCAGAGCCACCACGUUAAAAAAAGGGAGAAGUCUGUCCUUUGUGUUUAAAAAGUCUGAGUUCAUAUGACAUUACUGUGAAAAUGAGCACCUGUCCAUCUGUCCUCACUCAGUCUCAGUUUCAGUAUCUCUGUCUCAACUGAGUCUUAGUUUCACUGUAACUCCAUCUGCCCCCUCUUAGACUCAGUUUUUUUGGGUCUUCAUCUCUCGACUCUGUCUCAGUUUCACUGUAUUGUCAUCUGUGUCCACCGAGUCUCAGCUUAGCUGUAUCUCAAGCUUUGUCUGUUCAGUUUCAGUUUAAAAUUUCUACCAAAUCUAAGUUUAACUUUAUCCUUACCCAUCUCUACCAAGUCUCAGUUUCAUUGGAUCUGCCUAUACUAGGACUUAGUUUCACUGUUUCUCUAUCUGAAUCCAUUAAGUCUAUUUAUUUACUAUAUCUUUAUCUCCCUCCACCAGGUCUUAGUUUCAUUGUACCACCAUUAGUCUUCAUUGAGUCUUUGUUCAGUUGUAUUUCCAUCUGCCUUCAGUGAGUCUCAGUUUUACUGUAUUUUCAUCUAUCUAAACAGAGUCUAAGUUUUAAAGUGUCUCCACUCGUCUUCACCAAGUCUCUUUCUUAGUUUCUUAAUCUUUUGUCACUCAGUCUUAGUUUCAUUGUAUCAUGAACUUUAUACACAACUCAGUAUUACUGAAUCUCGACCUGUUUUUGCUGAGUCUCAGUUUCACCGUAUUUUCAUCUAGAGUGUUGAAUAGUGCCUCAGCUCCACAGAGUCUCUUUUAUCUUGAACUUUCGUCACUCAGUCUCACUUUCAUUGUACUUCUAUUAGUCUUCACUGAGUCUUUGUUCAACUGUAUCUCAAUGAGUGAGUCUCAGUUUCACUGUAUUUUCAUCUAUCUUGUUUUAUAGUGUCUCAACUGAGUCUCUUCUUUUGUUUCUUGAACUGUCGUCACUUAGUCUCAGUUUCAUUGUAUCAUGAACUCUGUACACAACUCAAUAUCUGGAUCUCUAACCCGUUUUUGCUGAGUCUCAGCUUCACUGUUUUGCCAUCCGUCUCCACUAAGUCUUAGUUUUACUGUAUCAGCAAAUCACACUCAUGUCAGCUGAAAUCUGUCUGACUACAGCUUUAUAAAGCCUAAAAUGACAGAUUUUAUUAGCUGAAAGGACCCUGAAAGAACUGCAUCAUGUUGCUGAUUUAAAACAAAAAACAAAUUCAGGAUUGGACAGGUCUGUCUGCAAGCAGCAAACACUUUAAACAUUUUUUUCUGUCUUUUUUAACUGCUUCUGAUUAAUUAUAUUGACACAGUUCAGCUGCUUUUGUGUACACAAAGUGAAAAACUUGGUUGAGCUUCACUCGCGUUGAAAAGUGAAACUUUUAGGAAAAAGCAGAUGACGCAUAUAUUCAUGCUCUCAUGUUGCAUGGAUCUAUUCUUAGCGUUGACUUUGGUCUGAAAACAGUAUGACAGAGUGUUUUUUAAUAUCGUGAUGGUGUUUUGACUUAAUGAAAGGAUUUCAGCACUUCGCUCUGCCGUCCUCUCGUCUCCUGUCCAGGAUGAAGACGCCAUAUCAGAUUUAAAUUUGGAUCUUUCAUGUGAUGAAACAUGUUGAGCAGCUUCCCUGGACUCUGUGAGCUGUACCAACUUAAAAGAGAAGAAACAGAUCCAGUGAUUUAUUUCAGCAGACAGCUCUGCAUGAGUUCACUGUCUGACCUAAACUGCAGCAUUAAGCUCAACCGGUUCACAUUUAACUAUUAGCCCCGGAAAAAUGAGAGUGGAGGUGGAGGGGAGGACUGUAAUUGGAGGGACCUCCACGCUGCCAAACAUGUCAACACGCCUGUUAAAGCUCCAGAUGUCGGGGCUUUGAUCCGGGUUUACGCGCCUCACCUUCCCUGAUUGUCUCAGAGGCUGUUGACGAGGUUUUCCUGCCUGCCGGCCUGAAUCUUCUUCAUCCUCAGCUCAGCAUCAUCAUCCUCAUCAUCAUCCUGAGUUUAAGUUACUUCAAAGUGAGACUCGGUUAAUCCUGAUGCCAGAAAAUGAAAUAUUUAGAGUGAGUUUUUCAGCAGUUUUGAUGUUCCUGUGAUAAUCUUCCAAAAAGUCUCAGUUUUCUGACUUUUACCUGCUGCAACCUGAUGAUGGUUCACCCUGAAUUAUGGCAGGACUUCUGCCGCGUUCCAAUUACCUCAGAAGUUGGAUGUAGGAGCUGGGAAUGACGUUAUACCCAAGCUCAUGGCGUUCAAGUAAACAAGUCAGAAAACCAAGAUGGACGCCUACCGUUGUAAACAAUUGUCAGCUGUUGUUAGCCGUUGUCAGCUGUUGUUAGUUGUCGUUAGAUAUACCAGUUGUAAACAACGCAUAACAGUAUUUUACUCUUACAAACACCAUAGCACCGUGUUCACAGUUAGAUGUUGGGCAGAACAACAUAAACCACUUCUUUAAUUUCACAAAAACAAAACAGAAAUGAGAAUAAAUAAUACAAGAGGUUUCACCUUUACCCAGGAUUUCCACCACAUCCAGAACGGCGGCGAUUUUCGCUGUACGCCUACUGGAUCCGUUUGUGAGGCGAAUUUCGUGGCAGAUUACAGACGAUAACAAGUUGUCUUUAGCCACAGAGGCCAACCAUAUAAGCAGUAGAUUGCCCGUCUGUGUCUGUGCUCGACUUCCUUUCCAGCACGGGUUAAUCUGUGCUGAAUUUAUCCGGCAUCCAGAAAAAAUAGAACUUUUGCAAUCAGCUGGGGAGUCCAGCGAUCCAAAGUGGAACGGAAAGAAGUCGGUGGAAAUCGACACAUUAACUUGAAUGGUUACGAUCAGCUAUGAUUGGCGGAUAUGGCCUUUUCGUAGCUGGAUGCGGUGGAAAUUGGGGGUUACUCUUUACUGAUGAUGCACUUCGCUGCCAUCUUGGACUAUGUCGCUGUCGUCAAGUUGGGACUGGUGAGGAUCAUCCUACUUUCCAAAAUUGGAAAUCGGACUUCAGGGGGGCGUUCCAGAUGAAUUACCGACUCGUCGCUUAGAAAUUUGGACUUCUGACUACAACUGGAGUGCAGCAUUCAACAAACUAACAAACAAGUUUAACUUUAACAAACAAAAAAAACCAAUAAGGCUUCAGAUCAGACUUUCUUUGAGUGAACAUUUUGACCUGUUUUGGUGGUUUGAGUGGCACAAUAGAUGCUGCUUUACCACAAACACUCAAACAUAUGUCCUGGUGACUAAUGGACAUUUAGAUCUGUCACUCUGGACCACAUCUGACCCAAAUUACUCAUCUCAAGUGUCUACUGAGGCUGACAUGGAUGAUUCAUGCCUCCAUCCUGUCAAGAGUUCCAGCAGAAAGUGUGAUUGUGAAGGUACAGAGAUCCACUGUAAAGGGUAAACAAAUCAUCAUUUCUUCUGCGUGUGGAUUCACAAUGAUGCUCUUCAUUGUUGGGGACUGGCUGGGUUCAAAGUCUCUGGGCGUCACCACCGCCUUCAUCCUCCUCCUCAUCAAACACCGAGACAGAUCCUCCUCCCCCUCCUCUCUCAGCGCUCUCACUUCGUCAUUUUCAUUUGCCAUCCCAAUUUGUUUUGAGGCCGCUAAGGCAUGUCUUUGGUUUGCCUCAGUGAAGCUGUUAACACGUAGCAGAUUUUUACACGCUGCCAUUAAAAGCCACACUCUUUAAAAAAGGCCCGUUUUUAUUUUUAGCAUGUCUCCGCUGAAAAAGAAAAAGGAAAAGUGGCUUUGGAUCGGCUGAAAGCUUCAGAGGGACUGCCAAAGGUCCGCUCAAACUUUUAUGGCUGAGCAGCCAAAUCCUGCACUUAAGCAGGACAAUCCCCCAUUAUGAGGCGCUCUUUAAUACCGUCAGGCUCUGCUCAGAUGCCCACCCACCUCCACCAAUUACACCCCCAACCCCCCCAAACCUUCCAGCUCUCUACUGAGACAAUGUAAUUAUGAGAAAACGCUGCUAAAACUUAAAACAGACGGCCUUUUUUCAUCAUCUGGCUCUGGCUUUGAGGCCCCUCCAUCCAUCCACCCACCGAGCAGCACCAAAAACCCCCCGAACCUCCACCCAGCACCAUCAUCUGACACCCAGACUCUGAUCCAGUGUCUGUGGAGCAGCGACAGUCUAAUAUGUGGUCAGAGAGACCGCGGAGUGUGUGAACUGACAUAUUCUUGUGUUUAACAUCUGACACCAGAAGAUAAACAGGCGAGAACCACGAUUGAACUUUCCAAAUAAACUGUCCCCAGAGGGCCGUUCGACUCCCUUUGUCAUCCAUCUAAAAAUGUCAGAGCUUUUGUCAGAGUCCUCGCCGGAGUUUUAAACUUGACACGAACAAACAGUCGGGAAAAUCCAAAAGAUUACAUAAAGUAUUCAGAGAAGUAUUACAUAUAUUAAAAACGUUUUAUGACAUGAAUAAAGAUUUAACGGGCAUGUGCUGUAUGAAACUUCAUGUUGAACCCUGCUCCUUUAUAGUCUGCAUUUAUGUAACUCUAUAUCAUCAUACUCUUGGUUUGAUGCCCAGAAACAUCAGCGCUUUGAACCGGCGUGUUUUCUACUUGCCCAGCAGGGGGCGAUUACACUGGUAUGAUGUAUAGAAAUCCAUAAGGAAGUCUUGAGUGAAGAUUUUCCUAAUGAGCCUCAGUCUCGAGUUAAUAGUCUUCUUUAAUAGAGCAUGAUAUUCAUGUAGGAAGUUCUGGUCCAUUUAGAGUCACAGAGACCAGAAAGCAGGGAGGGAGUGCACCAGAACCAGAAGCGCCUACACGAAAGCGGUCAGCCAUCAUUCCCAAUCCCAUUUGAGUUUCAUUCCUUAUUAUUUGUAAUUUUCUAUUAUAUUUAAAUCAUUGUGCUCAAAUCUCCUUCUCAUGUUUUUUAUUGUAUUUGGCACUUUUUCCAAUGAACUCUUGACCCGAGUGUUGCUGGGAAGUCAGCGACACCUUCAGUGCUGUAUCCAGGGACAGGUUUUUGCGACCCUUGCAAAGUGGUUCUUUAGAUGUUCUCAACUUAAACCAAAUUUAAACAAGCGCACCUGCCCAGAAGUAGCGCCAAGUUUAUGCUACGUUCCAGUUGUACUCCAAAGUCGGAAAUUCCAAGUUCCGAGUCGGAAAUUCAUCUGGAAUGCCCUCCUGAAGUCGGAUUUCCAACUCUGAAAGUCCUCACCAGUCCUCACCAUCCUCGCCCUCCCGACUUGACGACAACGUCAUAAUCCAAGAUGGUAGCGCAACGCAUCAACAGUAAAGAGUAACAGUGAAAGCUCUUGUAAUUUAUUAUUUAUUCGCACUUCUGUUUAUGUUUUUGUGAAAUGAAAUAAGUGGUUUAUGUUGUACUACCCAACGUCUAACUGUGAACACGGUGCUAUGGUGUUUGUAAGAGUAAAAUACUCUGUUAAGCGUUGUUUACAACUGGUAAAGCUAACAACAACAGCUAACAACAGCUUACUGUUGGCGUCCAUCUUGGUUUUCCAACUUGUUUCAUUCCCAGCUCCGACAUCAGACUUCUGAGGUAACUGGAACGCAGCAUUACUUUGGGCGGGUAAGGGGGAUUUUCUCAGAGUGCAUUCCCUCAUCUGCACCAAACUGAAGGUCCUGCACCCAAAUGGUUCAGUCCAGUACAAUCUGUGCAUUUUUCCACUCCUGGUUCACUUCGAUGUACCAGAAUAAUGAUGAUUGGACGCUUCUUUUGCCUCUUCUGCUUGACUGCAACUUCAUUAAGGAAUUUGACAAGAAACUUUUAGUGUUGCUGUAACGUUUGUUUGAUUUUAUGUGGAAACUUUUCUGCAUGUAAUGUUGAAAUAACUGCACUCUGUCAAAUGUAAGCUCCCUCUACAUGGCCAGUGAGAGUUAUGUGCAACCGACUCACCUGCACAACACCACUCAGGUAUUCAUGGUGCAUUGCAAUUUCCCUCAAAUUUCAGUGUGAGCAAGCUCUUUCUAAAUCACAGCUGAAACAGAGAUCUCACCGUCUAUCCUCUGGUUUGUGUCAUCAUUGUGCAGACAGUGACUUGGAUUAUUCAAUAGAUGCAAAGGAGUAAAAAGAAAAGCAGUAAAAUCUCUAAACUGUCUCAAAGUUGAGCUUAUAAGUGUCUUCUGUCUGUGGUAUCCACCUGGAUCCAUGAGCCGACUGCUGAGUUUGACUUUGAAAGUCUUUCUUUGGAGGAUAAAUGUCUGCACACAGUAAUAUUUAUAGCAGGGUUCCUGUUUAAAAGUCAAAUAAUAAUACAGCACACAUUGAUUCCCACAGUGUCCGGAGACAAUAGACCAUUUAUUGAUGGGAAAACCAUAAACAAGCAGCCUGUCUGUAAAAAUACUUUGAGCCUGGAUCGCAGCGCUUUGAGUGACUCAUGGAAAGUAUGGAUGGGAAAAAUAACACACAACAAAGGGCUAAUUCACAAUAGAAAGCAGACAAAAAAAAGGGAAAAAUGCUGAGAAAACGCACAACAGAUGGAGGCUGUAAUCAAUACUGCAGAGCAGCUUCACAUCUGCAUCAGCCUGCAGGGAGAGGAAGCAUCUUUCCAUCUGUGAGAAAACCAGAGAUCCACACUCUGAGGGUCCGAUCACGGGAGAGGGGGACCGUCUGCUGGUAACAUCACCAUGAAUAAAUACCUGAACAGUAGGUUUCUCUGCAGAGGAGCAAAACAGUCAGAUACAGUGAAGGUUUCAGCUUUUUCUGAGCGUCCAGGGUCGGUACCAGCCAAGAGAUCUAAAUGAGAGCAUGUCGCGGGUCCAAACCUGCGGAGCCAAUCCCAAACAGAGCUGUGGAAAAUCCACUCCAAC